rnacentral:rRNA from 1 species
CAGUCGCCGCGGGAAUACGGAGGAUCCAAGCGUUAUCCGGAAUCAUUGGGUUUAAAGGGUCCGUAGGCGGUCUUGUAAGUCAGUGGUGAAAGCCCAUCGCUCAACGGUGGAACGGCCAUUGAUACUGCAGGACUUGAAUUAUUGGGAAGUAACUAGAAUAUGUAGUGUAGCGGUGAAAUGCUUAGAGAUUACAUGGAAUACCAAUUGCGAAGGCAGGUUACUACCAAUUGAUUGACGCUGAUGGACGAAAGCGUGGGUAGCGAACAGGAUUAGAUACCCCAGUAGUCCCUGUCUCUUAUAC